AGUCUGGAAAUUGAAACAUAAAGAAUAGUUGAAAGUGAGAUUCUUAUUCAUUCAUUUAGCAAUGUUUAGACAGGCGGUCCAGUUCAGCUACCAUCCUUCUAUUAAUCAUUCGUAACGUACUCUCCUGUACCUGUGGUUUUCUCCAGCGUGCAGAUUCCAAAAGGACUAGCUUUUGAUUGGUUGGGUUUGGGUUGACAGACCAUUCCAGGGU